AGUGAGAAUGCAGCUAUCUAUGGUUAACUUAAAAUUUCAUCUUUUAAUUUACAUAGUCACAGUUUCAGAAGUAAAAUUAUAUAUUAUGACAUCUUAUAAUAAAUACAACAUCAAAUGAGACUUGACUUACUAACUAUGAACGUAUAACAAGAAGUGUUAAACAACUUCUACAAUUGAUUCAGUUAGGUAAUAAUACAAUAAAGUUUUCUUAUGAAGAUAAGAAAGGAGAAUACAUCAAGUAAAAUGGAAAGAAGUAAGAUUUUUUUUGGGGAAAAUGUCUAUGUGUACAUGUAUAGAAUUUGGUAUGAAAUCCUCACCGAUUCUACCCUGCUUUUCAAUAGAGGUGUGGGCCGAGAAAGAGUAAUGCUGGAGCAACAAAAUUAGCAUCCUUUUGAAAAAACGAAUUCGCUACAAUUCGUAUUUUUAGUGCAAUCAUUGAAGUCAAAGUAUAUAACCGUAACAUUUUUUGUUACUGAUGCAGAUAUGAAAUAAUACAGUGAUAAAAGCUGUUUAUGCAGAUAAAAUGGAGAAAACACCAUGAAAAAUGGAGAGAAAUAAUAUUUUCUUUUGGGAAGAUGUGUACUUGCAUAGAAUUUCAUAAGAAAAUCUCACAAUUGUACCCUACAAGCACAGAAUAUCUAGCUACGCAAGCGUAGCUAGAUAUUCUGUGCUACAAGUGUGGGCUAAGAAAAAGUAAAGCUGGAGUAACAAGAUCGGAAUCCUGUUGAAAAAACGGAUCCGCCAAAUGGUUUCUGCUUAUAAUUGUUGCCUUCAAAUAAUUUAUGCAAAUAUCUCUUCAGAAAAUUAUACUUCCGAACAUUCAGAUGCAUGGAAGCUAUGCUGUACAUCCCAAAUCUGCUUUUUUUGAUGAUAUAAAGAUCAUUUUAGUGGUUGUUCCAUGCUGGUAGAAAUGUAUUGUUAUGAGGAGAUGCAGUGAAUAAGGUUUUCUAUUGAUGUCCUCACUCUCAUUUUUUAUAAGAUAUAAAGACAAUAGUAGUAUGCAGUUUAAAAAUAAUUUUGGAACCAUACAAGACUUGGCUUAUUAACAAAGAAUAUAUAGGAAAAAGCGAAAAAUGACUUCUACAAAUGAUGCAGAUAUGAAAUAAUACAGUGAUAAGAGUUGUUUAUGAAGAUAAAAUGGAGAAAACACUAAGAAAAAUGGAGAGAAAUAUGAUUUUCUUUUGGGAAGAUGUGUACUUGCAUAGAAUUUCAUAAGAAAAUCUCACAAUUUUACCCUGCAAGUGUGGGCCGAGAAAAAGUAAAGCUGGAGUAACUAGAUCGGAAUCCUGUUGAAAAAACGGAUCCGCCAAAUGGUUGCUGCUUAUAAUUGUUGCCUUCAAAUCAUUUCUGCAAAUACCUCUUCAGAAAAUUAUACUUCCGAACAUUCAGAUCCAUGGAAGCUAUGCUGUACAUCCCAAAUCUGCUUUUUUUGAUGAUAUAAAGAUAAUUUUAGUGGUUGUUCCAUGCUGAUAGAAAUGUAUUGUUAUGAGGAGAUGCAGUGAAUAAGAACCAGGACUUUCCAGAAGGGUAGCCAGAAGAUGUAUUUACCUCAACAUAGACAUCAGCAUGUCCAUCAGCCACCUUGGAU